rnacentral:rRNA from 1 species
GGCGACCGCUAUUGGAAUUCGAUUAAGCCAUGCGAGUCGAGAGUCCUCGGGACUCGGCAUACUGCUCAGUAACACGUGGAUAACCUGCCCUGUUCUAGGGGAUAACCUCGAGAAAUUGAGAAUAAUACCCUAUAGUCCACUACGCCUGGAACGGUGGGUGGAUAAAAGCUCCGGCGGAACAGGAUGGGUCUGCGGCAUAUCAGGUAGUAGUGGGUGUAAUGGACCCACUAGCCUUCGACGUGUACGGGUGUUGGGAGACAUAGCCCGGAGAUGGAUUCUGAGACACGAAUCCAGACCCUACGGGGUGCAGCAGGCGCGAAAACUUCACACUGCGGGAAACCGCGAUGAGGGAAUUCCAAGUGUCUGGGGUAAGACCCAGUCUUUUCUUGACUCUUAAUAGGUCUUGGAAUAAGGGGGGGGUAAGACCGGUGCCAGCCGCCGCGGUAAUACCGGCCCCCCAAGUGGUCGUCACUUUUAUUGGGCCUAAAACGUCCGUAGCCGGUUUAGUAAACCCGUGGGUAAAUCAACCAGCUUAACUGGUUGAAUUCUGCGGAGACUGCUAGACUAGGGACCGGGAGAGGUACGAGGUACUCUUGGGGUAGGGGUAAAAUCCUGUCAUCCCAGGGGGACCACUUGUUGCGAAGGCGUCGUACUAGAACGGAUCCGACGGUCAGGGACGAAGCCUAGGGGCACGAACCGGAUUAGAUACCCGGGUAGUCCUAGGUGCAAACGCUGUGGACUUGGUGUUGGGGAUUCCAUGAGGGUUUCCAGUGCCGAAGCGAAGGUGUUAAGUCCACUGCCUGGGGAGUACGGUCGCAAGGCUGAAACUUAAAGGAAUUGGCGGGGGAGCACUGCAACGAGAGGAGCGUGCGGUUU